rnacentral:rRNA from 1 species
CCUACGGGUGGCAGCAGUGGGGAAUAUUGCACAAUGGGCGAAACCCUGCUGCAGCGACGCCGCGUGAGUGAAGAAGUCUUUCGGUAUGUAAAGCUCUGUCAGCAGGGAAGAAAAUGACGUUACCUGUCACCGCAGCAACGGCUAACACCGUGACAGCAGCCGCGGUCAUACGUCGGGGGCAAACGUUAUCCGGUUUUACUGGGGGUAAAGGGAGCGUAGAUGGCUGGGCAAGUAUCGAGGGAAAGGCGGGGGGUCAACCCCGGGACUGCUCUGGAAACUGGCAGGUUGGAGUGCAGGAGAGGGAAGGAGAAGUCCUAGUGUAGCGGUGAAAUGCGUAGAGAUUAGGAGGAACACCAGUGGCGAAGGCGGCUUACUGGACUGUAACUGACGUUGAGGCUCGAAAGCGUGGGGAGCAAACAGGAUUAGAUACCCUAGUAGUC